rnacentral:rRNA from 1 species
ACGAACGCUGGCGGCCUGCCUAACACAUGCCAGUCGAACGAGACCUUCGGGUCUAGUGGCGCACGGGUGCGUAACGCGUGGGAACCUGCCCUUAGGUUCGGAAUAACUCCCCGAAAGGGGUGCUAAUACCGGAUAAUGUCUUCGGACCAAAGAUUUAUCGCCUUUGGAUGGGCCCGCGUUGGAUUAGCUAGUUGGUAGGGUAAAAGCCUACCAAGGCGACGAUCCAUAGCUGGUCUGAGAGGAUGAUCAGCCACACUGGGACUGAGACACGGCCCAGACUCCUACGGGAGGCAGCAGUGGGGAAUAUUGGACAAUGGGCGAAAGCCUGAUCCAGCAAUGCCGCGUGAGUGAUGAAGGCCUUAGGGUUGUAAAGCUCUUUUACCCGGGAUGAUAAUGACAGUACCGGGAGAAUAAGCGCCGGCUAACUCCGUG